AGAAUUUUGCGGCCACAAAUUGUACAACAUACACAGGACGAUAUCUUGAAGGAAAACAUAACUGCACUUGGACAUCUUGUAGUGAAGGAUGUACAAAAGAAAUUUUUACUUGCUGGCAGAUUGAAGUUUGGUAUGAACGCCAACCUGCUCAUGAAGUUUCAAAGAGUUUACAACUGCUACCAUCAAAGGAUUUAGUAACUGGAAGAUUAUUUCCAAAUGUAAAAGGAUGUGGUUAUCCUCCAAAAGUUGUUUGUGGAGAAUUUGCUGAAAAGUUCGGAGAAACUGGGAAAGUUUUUCCUUGUUUCUAUUCACAACUGGAACCGAGUUUAGUUAUUACUAGCCUAGAUCUGCAAGAGGUAAAACGUACAUUGCAAAGAUCAUGAUUAUUUUCCUUGUUUCUAUUCACAACUGGAACCGAGUUUAGUUAUUACUAGCCUAGAUCUGCAAGAGGUAUACAACCAUCUAUUGUACUCUACAGCUGUUCCUAUUCCAGCAUUUAUAGUUUCUGUUCUAUAUAUAUUCUUUGCUUAUUUCUACAUUUAUGCAGAGAUUCCUGAAGAUCUUUGUGAGCAAGAAAUAUUGAGUGAAAGCAGUUCUUCGAAGAGCCAGAAUUGCUUAACCUCAUCAGAAACAGGGUGCAACCAGUCACAACUGAUUCAUCAAAACUCUACGACAUUUUCUCAAGCAAGUGAAGAGAAACAGAAGACGGCUCAAGAAAGACAAGCGGCUGAUAGAAAGAUUUACAGAACACAGAACUAUACACUCUUAAAUCAGUUUAUUGACUUCUACGAUUAAAUUAUAAGUAUACAUUCUUUUGAUAAAUUGUUAGAAAAGCCACAAUAUCUUAAAUAUUUUUUCUCCAAAUUAUAAUUUUAAGGAUUUUGAUAUUGUGGAUAAUAAAUGUUAAAAACCUAAUUCAAUCCCCUUUCCAUAAUUUUGGGGUAAAGCUUAUUUUUUUAAUACCUGCUGGAAAUUAUUGCCUUAAAAUGCUUGUAAGCAUGAUAUCUUUAGAUGAAUUAAGAAAUGGACAUCUGACGAUCUAUUAAUUCUAAAAGAUAAAUAAAUCUAGCUUGUUAGUUGUUAGUGCGCUGUCGCUCUCAUUAUACUUCACUCAUUUUUAUCUCUGAGUUUUGAGUUUGGUAAAAGCAUUUUUUGGAAUCUUCAAAAAAAAACUUUAGAACAUCAUCUGGUUGUCGCAUAUUUUUCAGAUAUCUUCUUGUAUUGAUUGUAAGUAAUUAGAAAAAAAGUUGAAAAAUAUAUGAAAACUUCGUUAAAGAGUUUAUCUGCCUUUCCCAAACAUUGAAUAAAAACCCACAUCGCAAUCCGCAUCAAUCAUAACAGACACUAGAAAAUAGAUAUUCAGAAAACAAUUUAUGAUAAAAAACUAAAAUUCAAAUAUUGUCUACCUUAUCGAAAGGAAGAAAAACAUAAAACAAAACUGUGAUAAUUCAUAUUCAAACUCUCUAACUGUAAACGCUGUAUAAUACUAUUCUGUGUUUCUGUAUGUUCAGGCCAAAAAUGAACAAGGUUUGAUCAGUUAUUUUCUGAACUAAAUUUCUAGGCGAAUAAUCUAUAAAUUAAAAAAAAAUUAUUUUGUAACAAUUUUGUUUUGGCUGAGUACAAAUUUUUGUAAUUUUGAGCAUUCAUAAAUCUAAACAAGCAUAGUAUUUCUGCAAAAACUUAGGUUAGAAUAUCAACGACUUUAAAAAAAGAGAUGCAUUGCAUGCUUACAGCCCUUAGUUUUAGUUUCGGUAUUUAAAACAUAACAUACAUAAUAAGUAUUUAACAUAGUUAGCUUUUAUAGAAGACAUCUGAAUAGAUUAGAAACUUGCAAAAACAUUAAAUGAAA